GAGAUGGCUGAGCAGUUAAGGCAAUGAACUGCUGACCCAUUGUGCUCUGCCCGCAUGGAUUCGAAUCCCAUUCUC
rnacentral:tRNA from 1 species